rnacentral:misc_RNA from 1 species
CUAACUCCCUCCUUUACCAAUUACAUACAAAGGAAAGGAAAGUACAGGAAAGGGACUUUCCUUCCUUUGAUCCAAGAACCAGACUCAUUCCCAUCCAUCUUCAAGAUACCGGGAUUCAACUGAGAUGGCANNNNNNNNNNAUCACCUACAACGCCACUUUCUGCGCGUGCCCACCUGGCCGCCUUCUCAACCGCACCUCCAACACCUGCUCUCUGUUCACUGCUAGCUCUGCCAUUUACACCGC